ensembl:lncRNA
CCAUUCCAUUUGUCUCUCGUGUCGGAAGGGGAAUUCCAGAUGUCUGAUGACUGCAAACAUGACCCCCCCACCCCCCUCCUCCUCCUCCUCCUCUUCCUCGUCCUCCAGGCUACUCGUCGGCUGAUGUCACGGGCGGCGGAGGGGAUCCUAAACGAGGAGUAAUUCCUGGCGACAAGCUCGGAGGCGCACGGCGAUCCGCGUUUGUUCUCCCUUUCUCAUCUUUCCUCCCUCGGUCUCUCUCGCUCUAUUCCUCUUUCUGGCUGCCUCCAGUGAGCCUGAUAAAGAAGGGAAAAAAAAAACUCUUCACAGCAGGACUCCACCACUCUGUUGCUAUGGCAAACACAUGCCAGUGUCCGCAAAGAAAUUGUCCGCAUACAAAUUAGCAUCCGGACGCUACUGCAGGCAGAAAUGCACUGGGCUGCCUGCCUUGACAAGCAAUCUUAGUGUUUCCUAGAAUGAGCCAUUUGUAUCUACAUAAGGAGUGGGUCCUCUUUCAUGGAACCUGCCAUGUUGCACCAUAGGUACCUGCACACGCUUGUAAAGUUACCCAACACAUCUUGAUGUACCAUCUGCACACCGAUGUCCCCAGAUCCCUGCGGUCAGCACAUGCAGGGAGUAUUCGACAUCACCUGUGACUUUACGUGACAUAAUGGAGUCGAUGAGCCAAGAUCCUUCUCAGAAUCAUCCAGGAUUUCCAUCCAAUGUCUCUGUGCUGUGAAGGGACUUCUAAUGCUCCUUAACCCAGAAGCUGUUGAUGGCGGUCGGCCCAAAUAUGAAGCUAACGGAUAACAGCAUUGAACCAACUGAUGAGGUUACGCUGAAGAAAUGCUGAAUGUCAGUCUCUGUUCACCUCAAGGCCGGGGACGAUCUGUCAGAAUGGAUGUUUGAGGUCACAUGAAACGUUUAGGUUGAAAUUGCCCCA